AAAUAGGGAACUCAGGCUAAAAACUUCACAUCCUGUGAAAACGCCUGAGUGACCAACCUCAGUGCUGUUGC
rnacentral:sRNA from 1 species